CUUGUUCUUGCAGUGGCUGCAGGACAGGAAGUAUUCUUUGAAAAACAUCAUAGAAUUUCUAGUUGGGAAAACAGAUGGGUCCUACCCUUUCAAGUUCUAUUCAAUCCUUGACAAUUUUUUUUUUUUUAAAUGUGACAACUUCUUUAAUUUUUUGGAAAAACUGGUACAACCGCCUUUGGUGGCUAGAUCAGAAAGCUGUUUCAUAGCACAUUUUCAGUAUUGUUUCAGCUGAAUGUGAGAUUAUAACAAUUUUAAUCUCAACUUCAGAGGUCUGUUUUCUCGUAUUUUGACACAGGCAUAGUGGUAUACUGAUGACCAAGGACUAAUUUCCGACAGGUUCAUUUUGAUGGCUGGGACCACAGAUACUACUGCUGGGUGGAUGCAGAUAGCCCUGACCUUCACCCCAUUGCACGGUGUGAUGUCACAGGUCGUCCCCUGGAAGUACCAUGUCAAACCGAGCCGAGACGUAAUGCACGUGAUGGCUGCACACUUCUGUGGGAAUCCUUGUGCAGUGCGUUUUGGCCAAGACCAUGAUAUUAAUAACCCAUAGUAUUCCAGCACGAAAAUUCUUGAAAAAGGAACUUGAAAAAGGAGGCAACGCUUCAGAAUCGUCUGAGAGAACAAACACAGGCAAAAAAAGUGGAAUCAGGCUCUGCACAUUCCGUAUCGAAAAAUCGCUAUAGCUUGAACUUCAGUAGAAGACUCCAGAAGGUGAACAACCAGUUCAGGUAAGGAAGCCUUAAAAAUGUGAAACAGAGAGUAAAGCAUGUAGAAGAGAAAAGGACAAACUUGUUGCUGAUAAUAAUUCCUUAUGUUUCUUCAAAAUCUUUUUUUUUUAAUUUCUGGAUAAUAUUAUGUUCACUAGCUCGUAGAAUUCAUCUGAGUCUUGACACUUCAUUUUUAAAAUAUUUUUACUUACUUCACCCUCAGUAAUGUG
rnacentral:lncRNA from 1 species